UUUCCCUUUCUCACUCAGGUCGAGGGAGCUUUCUUUUUUGCGUUUUCCUUUCUUCGUGCAGCCUAAUACUUACCUUUUUUACUGUGGAUUUUACUUUCCGUGCACCCUGAAGUACAAGUGGUUGGGUGUGUGCUCUGUCUUUUGGUAAAAUUCGUCCUAUUUCGGAGUAAGCUUCGAAUACAUAUAUAUAUAUAUAUAUAUUAGUUCAUUUUCUUUUUGCUGCACGGACUUGUAUUGUUUUCUGGAACCAGAGACACAAUGAAGGCGCUGCACCUUCGUCACUACAGCGGCCAAGAGGCCGAGGAGCGCUACAAACUCGCAACCCCUCGAAACCUGCUUUCGCAACGCAUGCCAACAGUUGACAGCGGCGACCCGGUGGCCAAGAUGGAGGAGAUCCGAAACUACGUUCACAACACAAUGGAGCUGUUCGAGAGGGUUUUCGACUGCCUUGCAUAUGAGGAGUCCUUCCUUGUGCCGCCCAUUCACAAACUUCGCCAUCCCAUGAUCUUCUACUACGGCCACACCGCAUGCUUCUAUAUCAAUAAGCUCCGCGUGGCUGGCCUAACGGAGCGGAUCAGCCCGAGGCUCGAGAAUAUGUGCGCCAUCGGCGUCGAUGAAAUGAGCUGGGAUGAUUUGAACGAGGCGCACUACUCCUGGCCUAGCGUGGAGACGGUGUGCGAGUACCGUCGCCAGGUGCGCGACCGCAUUGACCAGCUCAUGUCGAGCGGCAAGUUUCCCCUCAAGAUGCCGCUGACACUGGCAAACAGCACCGAUAAUGACGCUAACGCCUUCUGGUGGGUGAUGCUGAUGUGCGCCGAGCAUGAGCGCAUUCACUUCGAGACCGUCUCCGUGCACGUUCGCGAGUUGCCAAUGAAAUACAUUUCUACGGUCAUGUCUGACAUUUGGCAGCGCUGCCCCGACGCGGGCACUCAAGCUCCAAUCAACGACCUCGUGCCCAUCGCGGGCGGCAAAGUACAGGUAGGCCGCAUGCCGAACUCUCGUGUGUACGGCUGGGACUGCGACUACACGAAUGGAUGCAACAUAGUGGAGGUGGCGCCGUUCAAAGCGAGCAGGUUUAUCGUCUCCAACGCUGAGUUCUUCACGUUCAUGAAGGCAGACGGGUACAAUGUGCAGCGGUACUGGGACGAAGAGGGCUGGAAGUGGGUGCAGUGGAAGAAACCGGAGCACCCGUGGUUCUGGGUGCGUGACGAGACCCGCCAGAGCGGCUUCGCGCUGCGUCUUCAGACGCAGCUGAUCGAUCUCCCGUGGGACUGGCCAUGCGAGCUCAACAACCUCGAGGCUCACGCCUUCUGCUCCUUCAAGAGCGAGCAGCUGGGCAAGAGGAUUCGCAUGCUGACCGAGGAGGAGUGGACGCUGCUGUUUGACCGGUACAUCGGAAAGGAUCAGCCGGAGUGGGGUGAGAAGGCGCCUGGAAACAUCAACCUCGAGCACUACCAGAGCAGCUGUCCUGUCAGCAAGUUCAAGCACGGCGACCUUUAUGACGUGAUCGGCAACGUGUGGCAGCAUUGCGAGACCCGCGUCCACCCCUACCCUGGGUAUCGGGUUCAUCCCUUUUAUGAUGACUUUUCUCUCCCGACAUUCGAUGGCCAGCACGCGUGCAUGAAGGGUGGGACGUGGGCGAGCACCGGCAAUAUGGCCACCCGCGACGCCCGCUUUGCCUUUCGCCGCCACUUCUUCCAGUACAUUGGCUUGCGCUACGUGGAGGGACCUGAUGUACUUGAACCGCAGAGCAAGUGUGGUUGUCUUGGUCUCGAUCCUGAGGUGGAUGCCAUUACCAACACCUGUUUCCGCGACUCUUUCCAGGGCUUGCCAAACGGCUGUGUUGCGAUCGCCGAGUAUGCCAGGAGGAUGUUCGCGGAACAUGCCACGGUGCCAGCGGUGAGAGCAAUGGACAUCGCAUGCGGCGGCGGCCGCGUCGCAUUCGAGCUAACGACGUCCUUUCAACAGGUACUUGGCGUCGACUAUACGGCGCGCCGUCUGAUGCCUGGCUUCGCCAUUCGCGAGCGCGGCGAGUGCCAGUACAGCGUCCAGAACUCAGCCAACGGGGAGCGCACUGCCCAUACUGUGAAGAGUGAGAACUUCCGGUGGGAACCGACCCUCAAGCGCGCUACCUUCUUUCAGUCCGACCCCACAAACCUGCACUCCCACCUCUCCGACUUGUCGUUGGUGGUGUGCUGGAAUUGCUUGGAGCGCAGUUACCAACCAAGCGCCAUUCCUGCCCACCUGCUCAGCCGUGUCGCAAAGGGCGGUCUUCUCGUGAUUGGUGGCGACUACAACUGGGAUAACAUCAAGAAGAGCGCCGAGGACGCUGACGCGCAGGACAACACGUACUUGACUGACCCCUUGAUCACGUUCAAAGGCAACUAUCAAGCAGAGAUCUUCCAUCUGCUGGGCGGCAGUGAUGCGGUAGAGCAGGUGGGCGAGGUUGUGUCCAUUCCGGUGGCCUUUCCGAAGACGGAAGACACAGCCGACAUCCGUGUCAUGGAGCUCGCGACGUAUCGCAAGAAGUAGGAGUGCGCAAAAGAGUCUCUGUAGAGGCCCGAGAAAAAGCGACGCCACGACGACACGUUGCCCAGCUUGAAAUCUCCCCUUCAACCCUUUUUCUAUUUUUUUCUUUCUCUUGUUUGCCCCAG
rnacentral:misc_RNA from 1 species